rnacentral:rRNA from 1 species
UACGUAGGUGGCAAGCGUUGUCCGGAUUUACUGGGCGUAAAGAGCGCGCAGGCGGUCGUUCAAGUCGCGUGUGAAAGCCCCCGGCUCAACUGGGGAGGGUCACGCGAUACUGCUCGACUUGAAGGCAGGAGAGGGAAGUGGAAUUCCUGGUGUAGCGGUGAAAUGCGCAGAUAUCAGGAAGAACACCAAUGGCGAAGGCAGCUCUCUGGGACGGUACUGACGCUGAGACGCGAAAGCGUGGGGAGCGAACAGG